GCAGUGGCAUGAUCUCGGCUCACUACAACCUCCACCUCCUGGACUCAAGUGAUUCUCCUGCCUCAGCCUCCUGAAUAGCUGGGAUUACAGGCAUGUGCCACCAUGCCUGACUAAUUUUUGUAUUUUUAGUAGAUAUGGGGUUUCACUAUGUUGGUCAGGCCGUUCUCAAACUCCUGACCUCAUGAUCUGCCCACCUUGGCCUCCCAAAGUGCUGGGAUUACAGGCAUGAGCCACCGUGCCCGGCCCCAUGCCUCCAUUUUCUAUCCUGCUGCUUGGAACAUGGAGAUGGAUAUGAUGGUGCACCAUACUGGACCAUGGAGAAAAAAAAUGAAGCAAAGAAGCUGCGAUGCUCAAGAAUUCAUCUGUGCCUUGUGAAGCCAACAGGGACAUCCAGCAUUUACUGACAAUAACAGACUGAGUUAGAAAAAUAUCCAUAUUUAUACUCGAUUUCCACUCUUGGAACACUUGCUUUUGGAAGCCAGCUGCCAUCUAAGUAUGACUACUCUGAAACCGCCGUGCUGUGAGGAACCCGAGCCAUGUAGAGACUGCGGCCAAGAAGCACCGAGGUGCCAAACGUGUGAGUGAAGAAACCAUCUUGGAACUCCAUCAUCUAGCAGCUGUCUUAGUGGAUACCAUGUAGAUCCUAGACAAAUUGCCCAGCUAAGAUCUUUCCAAAUUCCUGACCCACCAAAUCAUGAGCAAAAUAAAACAGUUGUUUGAAG
rnacentral:lncRNA from 10 species